rnacentral:rRNA from 1 species
CACGAAUGUGGCAAGCGUUGUUCGGAAGCACUGGGCUUAAAGCGUGCGCAGGAGGCCAUGAAAGUCAGAAGUGAAAUCCCUGGGCUUAACCCGGGAAUUGCUUUUGAAACUUCAUGGCUAGAAUCCCGGAGAGGUUAGGAGAAUUCCGAGUGUAGAUGUGGAAUUCGCAGAUAUUCGGAGGAAUACCAGUGGCGUAGGCGCUUAACUGGACGCGCAUUGAGGCUCAGUCACGAAAGCGUGGGGAGCAAACAGG